GGACAGAUGGCCGAGCGGUCUAAGGCGCGUGACUCAAGUUCACGUAUCGAAAGAUUCGGGGGUUCGAAUCCCCCUCUGUUCA
rnacentral:tRNA from 1 species